rnacentral:lncRNA from 1 species
GAUGGCUGGAGUGAAUUAUUGGUCAAUUGAGUGAAUCCUUUGCCUUUGAGUAGCUGACACACCUCCCUAAAUUGCUCCCUAAAUUGCUCAACAUGUCUGGUCUAAAGUCAAGGCUCCUUUGCACUUGAGUAGCUGACACUCCUCCCUUAAUUGCUCAACAUGUCAGGUCUAAAGUCAAGGAAAGCUGUGGUGAGUCACAUGGCUCUCCUCUGCACUUGAGUAGCUGACAGACCUCCCUUAAUUGCUCAACAUGUCAGGUCUAAAGUCAAGGAAAGCUGUGGUGAGUCACAUGGCUCAAAGAAAGUAUCCAAGGCUCAACAACUGGAAACUGCAAUCCUGAGCCUGGUGUGUAUAUGGGCUCACGAAUUGGGCUCAACUUCAUAAUCUGAUGCAUUUGAGUAGUCCA